rnacentral:rRNA from 1 species
AGCUACCCAACGUAUAUUCAAGUUGUUGCAGUUAAAAAGCUCGUAGUUGAACCUUGGCCCUGGCUGGCCGGUCUGCCUCACCGCAUGUACUGGUUCGGCCGGGUCUUUCCUCCUGGGGAUCCGCAUGCCCUUCACUGGGUGUGUUGGGGAACCAGGACUUUUACUUUGAAAAAAUUAGAGUGUUCAAAGCAGGCCUUUGCUCGAAUACAUUAGCAUGGAAUAAUAGAAUAGGACGUGCGGUCCUAUUUUGUUGGUUUCUAGGACCGCCGUAAUGAUUAAUAGGGAUAGUCGGGGGCAUCAGUAUUCAGUUGUCAGAGGUGAAAUUCUUGGAUUUACUGAAGACUAACUACUGCGAAAGCAUUUGCCAAGGAUGUUUUCAUUAAUCAGUGAACGAAAGUUAGGGGAUCGAAGACGAUCAGAUACCGUCGAGCAACCCC